AGCCACAGCCAUAUCACCCUCCAGCCGAAGGCCAGUAACUCAUUGAAGCUAAGCAGUUCUGAGCCUGGUUAGUAGCUGGAUGGGAGACCACAUAGUAAAACUAGGUUGCUGUUGGAA
ensembl:rRNA 5S_rRNA 5S ribosomal RNA